CCCGCUGAACUUAAGCAUAUCAGUAAGCGGAGGAAAAGAAACUAACAAGGAUUCCCCUAGUAACGGCGAGUGAAGCGGGAAAAGCUCAAAUUUAAAAUCUGGCAUCCUCUGGGUGUCCGAGUUGUAGUCUAGAGAGGCGCUUUCUGUGCUGGACCGUGUAAAAGUCUCUUGGAAUAGAGCAUCAUAGAGGGUGAGAAUCCCGUCUUUGACACGGACUGCCAGUGCUAUGUGAUGCGCUCUUCAAAGAGUCGAGUUGUUUGGGAAUGCAGCUCAAAAUGGGUGGUAAAUUCCAUCUAAAGCUAAAUAUUGGCGAGAGACCGAUAGCGAACAAGUACCGUGAGGGAAAGAUGAAAAGCACUUUGGAAAGAGAGUUAAACAGUACGUGAAAUUGUUGAAAGGGAAGCGCUUGAAGUCAGUCGCGUUUGCCGGAACUCAGCCUUGCCCCUAGCUUGGCGCACUUUCCGGUUGACGGGCCAGCAUGGAUUUUGACCAUUGGAAAAGGGCCCAUGGGAAGGUGGCACCCUCUGGGUGUGUUAUAGCCCUGGGUCGUAUACUCUGGUUGGGAUCGAGGAACUCGGCACCAUCGUGCUUAGGAUGCUGGCGUAAUGGCUUUAAACGACCCGUCUUGAAACACGG
rnacentral:rRNA from 1 species